CAAAGGAGCAAUCCGCUGAAAGAUGGGCUCGCGUCCGAUUAGAUAGUUGGGGGGGUAACGGCCCACCAAGUCGACGAUCGGUAGCCGGACUGAGAGGUUGAACGGCCACAUUGGGACUGAGACACGGCCCAGACUCCUACGGGAGGCAGCAGUGAGGGAUAUUGGUCAAUGGGGGAAACCCUGAACCAGCAACGCCGCGUGAGGGAAGACGGUUUUCGGAUUGUAAACCUCUGUCCUCUGUGAAGAUAAUGACGGUAGCAGAGGAGGAAGCUCCGGCUAACUACGUGCCAGCAGCCGCGGUAAUACGUAGGGAGCGAGCGUUGUCCGGAUUUACUGGGUGUAAAGGGUGCGUAGGCGGGUAAGCAAGUCAGAAGUGAAAUCCAUGGGCUUAACCCAUGAACUGCUUUUGAAACUGUUUAUCUUGAGUGAAGUAGAGGUAGGCGGAAUUCCCGGUGUAGCGGUGAAAUGCGUAGAGAUCGGGAGGAACACCAGUGGCGAAGGCGGCCUACUGGGCUUUAACUGACGCUGAAGCACGAAAGCGUGGGUAGCAAACAGGAUUAGAUACCCUGGUAGUCCAUGCCGUAAACGAUGAUUGCUAGGUGUGGGGGGACUGACCCCCUCC
rnacentral:rRNA from 1 species